CAGGUGCUGCAUGGCUGUCGUCAGCUCGUGUUGUGAAAUGUUGGGUUAAGUCCCGCAACGAGCGCAACCCUUAUCCUUUGUUGCCAGCGAUUAGGUCGGGAACUCAAAGGAGACUGCCAGUGAUAAACUGGAGGAAGGUGGGGAUGACGUCAAGUCAUCAUGGCCCUUACGACCAGGGCUACACACGUGCUACAAUGGCGCAUACAAAGAGAAGCGACCUCGCGAGAGCAAGCGGACCUCAUAAAGUGCGUCGUAGUCCGGAUUGGAGUCUGCAACUCGACUCCAUGAAGUCGGAAUCGCUAGUAAUCGUGGAUCAGAAUGCCACGGUGAAUACGUUCCCGGGCCUUGUACACACCGCCCGUCACACCAUGGGAGUGGGUUGCAAAAGAAGUAGGUAGCUUAACCUUCGGGAGGGCGCUUACCACUUUGUGAUUCAUGACUGGGGUGAAGUCGUAACAAGGUAACCG
rnacentral:rRNA from 1 species